GUGCUCGCUUCGGCAGCACAUAUACUAAAAUUGGAACGAUACAGAGAAGAUUAGCAUGGCCCCUGGGCAAGGAUGGAGGUCAGGGAGGAGAGGAGUUGCUAUGAAGA